rnacentral:rRNA from 1 species
CGGUAAUACGGAGGGUGCCAGCGUUAAUCGGAAUUACUGGGCGUAAAGGGUGGGUAGGUGGUUAUUUAAGUUAUCUGUGAAAUCCCAGGGUUUAACCUGGGUGGGUCAGUUAAAACUGUGGAGUUAGAGUAUGAGAGAGGGUAGUGGAAUUUCCGGUGUAGCGGUGAAAUGCGUAGAGAUCGGAAGGAACACCAGUGGCGAAGGCGGCUACCGGCUUAAUACUGACACUGAGGCACGAAAGCGUGGGGAGCAAACAGGAUUAGAUA